rnacentral:rRNA from 1 species
GUGGGGAAUAUUGGACAAUGGGCGCAAGCCUGAUCCAGCCAUGCCGCGUGAGUGAUGAAGGCCUUAGGGUUGUAAAGCUCUUUUGUCCGGGAAGAUAAUGACUGUACCGGAAGAAUAAGCCCCGGCUAACUUCGUGCCAGCAGCCGCGGUAAUACGAAGGGGGCUAGCGUUGUUCGGAAUCACUGGGCGUAAAGCGCACGUAGGCGGACCAUUAAGUCAGGGGUGAAAGCCUGGAGCUCAACUCCAGAACUGCCUUUGAUACUGAUGGUCUCGAGUUCGGAAGAGGUUGGUGGAACUGCGAGUGUAGAGGUGAAAUUCGUAGAUAUUCGCAAGAACACCAGUGGCGAAGGCGGCCAACUGGUCCGAUACUGACGCUGAGGUGCGAAAGCGUGGGGAGCAAACAGGAUUAGAAACCCUUGUAGUCC